CAACAUUCCCCUCCCGCUGAUUGCCGCUGUCAUGUGGAUGGCCCAAAGCGAGUAAUUUUCGCCAUUAAGUUUGGUUCCGAUCUGUAACGGUGAGGGUCUGCCGGAUUUUGGCCUUUUGGUUUGAGAUUGGUCCGAGACAGUGAUGAGACUUCUCUGAGUCUCACCCCCGCUCUGAUACCAUCUUGUUUUUGGUAUCGGCCAUAGAAGAGAGAAGAGUAGUGUAUAAGAGAUAGAUUGUAGGAAAUUGUGUGUCUUUUUAUUCAUCGGUUCUUACUACUCUUUAUAUAGAGUUUUACAUAUGUGUAUAUGGUAUGAUUUCCUAGAAUCAAUUUACAAUCAAUUGCUCAA